CUUCGACCGCCGGCGUCCUCCGGUGGCGGCGCGGGGAGAGCGGCGCUAGGCUUCAUUCAAGAAGCCUUCACCUCUGGUACCUUUGUGCGACGAGAAGGAUGAGCACGAUGAUGAGGAAGAGGAGGACAGCUGUGACGACGACAAUGAGGAGGUCGUGCUGUAGAUUAUUUUCACAACAGAAAGCAUGUUGCGGAAAACGAACGAAGAAAAAAAGGAAACAAAUGGCACUCAGUCAUUAGCGAUUAAGAUAAGAAGGAAAAAGAAUGAGCGGUGACAGGACCCACAUGAGAAGCGUGGUGUGCAUCUCAGGCGGCGGACGAUGCGCUGCAAGUCGGCCGGCUGAAGAGAAUCUUUUCCCUUUUAUCUUUGUAUGAUUUUAAUCAAAUUUCCCAACUAAUUUGCGUACCUCUAAUCAUUUGAUGGGCGAUAAAAAGAGAUCUGCUAGUGAUGCUGAACUGCAAGUCCCUAGUGAAGGUGAACAAGAUUGCAAGAAAGCCAAGAUUAUCAGUAAGCUUUGAGUGGCAGGGAGAAGAAACUGAGGCUGGACAACCAAAGAACUCUCUUUAGUCGAUGAUGAUAUUUGUGUGAACACUUACAUGCUCGUUAUUGCGGCACAAUUAACUCUUGGAUACAGACUAUUACCUGAUGCUUGUUUUUUUUUCUUUUCUAAUUACUAGCAAAACAGGUGCUGCCAAAUGUAUGAAGUUGGAUUGUAUAAGCGUUUUGCUAUACUUGUUGUGUUUUCCAUGUUCCAUGUUGUAGCACUUGGAGA